CAGAGCUGUCUCAAUCAAUGGUAGAAGACACCUGCUUCAACAGCUGAAGACAGUUGAUCACCUACGCCAUAAAUAAAGGGCUUCUUUCGAAGGAAAUCCCUGCUCCAGGAGAUGUCAGUGCCUUCAGCAGGAAUGAGGGAAGGACAACUGGAAGGCUUUCCUUUGCCUCCAAAGGCCAGAUGCUGUAUGAUACGUUCUUAAAUCACUUCAGAGAAUGCAGUUGUCUCACAGAGGUCUGUCCCUCCUGCCUUUUAAUCAUCCCUAAUCCUCUCUGAACCUCCUCCAGUAUGUCUACAUUCUUUACUGAUAAAAGUCUGAAAUCUUCCACCUCUAAUUCUGAAAAGAGAGGAGCAAAAGUAAACUGCCUUGAGUUGCUGCUUGUACCUCAGUUCCAUAGGAUGGCAUCUGCCUCUCAGGACACACACAGACCCCCCAGAGUGCUCUGCAGUAUUUCCUAAUGCCUGGCUUGUCCCGCUCGCUCCUUUCUAACAUCGCACUGGUCCUGUGCUGUGCAACUGGCCACUCCGACAGCUUUCAUCAUGCCAGAGUUUAUGGCAACUGUAAAUCUAUUAAGCCACAAUUUGCACUUAAUAAAAUGAAACAGCAAGCAGUUAAACGAAAGCUCGAUCCUAAACGGGAGAACGUUUUUCAGGAAAAGUCAUUGGGGCUGCCACUGCUACUGCUGCCUGCCUGCCUGCCUUUGAGAAAUUCAAUCGUGCUGAUUGAGGAAACCUGGGGAGAGCUGGCUACUCCUUGCUUUGGUUCAUAAUGGCCCCAUAGACCUUUUAAUCAUCUGUGGAUGACACAAAGGCCACGCUGUGAACACCGGAUGUGGAGGAAUGCACUUAUCAGAUGCUUCCUGCCCAUAAGUGGGCACGGGUUCAGGCUCAUCCCCAUGUCCCUGUGCUUCAGAGUGUCCCCGCUGUCAGAGUAGAGAGCAGAGCAGAUGACUGCUGUUGCUCCUCCUUUGCCUUUGUUUUCUUACAUCGGAGCAUGCACAAGUAGUGCUUUGGGAGCUGAGCUCGGAGAGGGGAGGAAAGGCUUUGUGCUGCAGGCUGCUGACAGGCCUGGAGGCACCCACCCUGAGAAGCACUGGGUGCAGCCUUAGCAGGAGGAGAGGGGCACUGGGAGACAAAGCAGAGACUUACUGGCUCCUGUGAAAUAGAUUUCUCUGUCGAUGUUAAAAUGACUUCCUCCAUGUCCACAGUUUUGCCUCUGCUCAAUACUGUGGCAUUUCUGGGUGACCAAGUGGCUGACCCUGGUUUGUAGUUGAAUAGUCUGGUCAGAAACCAUAUGCCCGGUUUCAUUAACUAGAGAAAAAAAGGCUCAGCCAGGGGAGGCAAUGAGUGCUUGAAAAUCUGAUCCAUCGUACUAAUUGGUUUGGAAUAUUAGCCUUUAGUUUAGAUUGGAAAUCCAUUUCCUCCUGAAUGCAGGCAAUUGGCUGACAGCUCGGGCCAUACAUGUAACCAUGCAAAGCUUGACACGCCAUCCUCAACCCCGAGCCCAUGUAUGCUGGCAAACACAUUCAAAAUAGCUUCAAGAGUUCGUAACUUCUGAGAGGACGCCUCUAGACACAGAUCUGUGCCCAUUCUUAUGAGCAUUCCUCCUGACAAAGUUAUAGGAUUUGUAAUUCAAAAAAGCAACUCGCUGCUGACUAAUGCGUGCCAAUUAAGUUCAGCCCAUUGAAUCAACAGUUUCCUGUUACCUGUUCCUUCAGGUAGAACAGCGGCUGAUACCCCUGCCCUUUCCCAGGCUUCUGUGCAGGGACCUUUCCUGCCCGAAAACAGUGGGGACACCUGUUUUCUGAGCAGGGAAGGCCAGCACCUGAAAUCCUAGGAAUGGUCCCGCUAUUGAAAACAGGGGGCUUGAUAAGGCAGCCACUGUGAUAGGCAGCGGAAAUUUGAUGAUGAAAGGAGAUGCCUAAUAGAUUAAUCUGGUGUGAUUUGCCAAAACACAGGGUUUUCUGGAAGAUUAUCCACACUCGCAAUAGGAAGCCCUUUGUUUUGUGAAAGUCCCCACUUAUCAUGGUAUUCUUUAUCUCAACAAGAAACAUAAUGGUUUACUUGUUUACAUGCAUGGCAGAUAUAUUCAGAGCCAGGCUUAGGAACUGUGAACUCCUUUUCAUUUGAAACAUUUCCAGCAGGCAGGUUAUUAGCUGAGGGGGAACAAGCAGUUGGACACAUAAAAUUUAAAUCUGCCUUGCUUAGAUUGGCAAAAAUGAAUGUUAUUUCAUCCACCGGGAAAAUGUUUUACUUCCUGCUCAAAUACUUUUGGAAGAAAAUCACAAGCUCAUUUGUAGCCAUCAUAUAUGUAUGUAUAUAUUUUUUUAGAGUUAAGUGUUAUGUCUACAGAAACGUAUUUGUUAC